AGCGGCGGACGGGUGAGUAACACGUGGGCAACCUGCCUGUAAGACUGGGAUAACUCCGGGAAACCGGAGCUAAUACCGGAUAGUAUCUUGAACCGCAUGGUUCAAGUUGGAAAGACGGUUUCGGCUGUCACUUACAGAUGGGCCCGCGGCGCAUUAGCUAGUUGGUGAGGUAAUGGCUCACCAAGGCAACGAUGCGUAGCCGACCUGAGAGGGUGAUCGGCCACACUGGGACUGAGACACGGCCCAGACUCCUACGGGAGGCAGCAGUAGGGAAUCUUCCGCAAUGGACGAAAGUCUGACGGAGCAACGCCGCGUGAGUGAUGAAGGUUUUCGGAUCGUAAAACUCUGUUGUUAGGGAAGAACAAGUGCGAGAGUAACUGCUCGCACCUUGACGGUACCUAACCAGAAAGCCACGGCUAACUACGUGCCAGCAGCCGCGGUAAUACGUAGGUGGCAAGCGUUGUCCGGAAUUAUUGGGCGUAAAGCGCGCGCAGGCGGUUUCUUAAGUCUGAUGUGAAAGCCCCCGGCUCAACCGGGGAGGGUCAUUGGAAACUGGGAAACUUGAGUGCAGAAGAGGAGAGUGGAAUUCCACGUGUAGCGGUGAAAUGCGUAGAGAUGUGGAGGAACACCAGUGGCGAAGGCGACUCUCUGGUCUGUAACUGACGCUGAGGCGCGAAAGCGUGGGGAGCGAACAGGAUUAGAUACCCUGGUAGUCCACGCCGUAAACGAUGAGUGCUAAGUGUUAGAGGGUUUCCGCCCUUUAGUGCUGCAGCUAACGCAUUAAGCACUCCGCCUGGGGAGUACGGUCGCAAGACUGAAACUCAAAGGAAUGACGGGGGCCCGCACAAGCGGUGGAGCAUGUGGUUUAAUUCGAAACAACGCGAAGAACCUUUACCAGGUCUUGACAUCCUUUGCCACUUCUAGAGAUAGAAGGUUCCCCUUCGGGGGACAAAGUGACAGGUGGUGCAUGG
rnacentral:rRNA from 1 species